rnacentral:tRNA from 1 species
GCACUGGUGGUUCAGUGGUAGAAUUCUCACCUGCCACGCGGGAGGCCUGGGCUCAAUUCCCGGCCAGUGCA